UUGCCCCACUUUUGCUGCUGCUGCUGCUGCACUUGGAAAAUAAACCCAAGGUGCACACAUCUGAGGACGGAGACCUGGGGGCUCGGAGGAGGUAAGGAGAGGCUGGUCCAAACCACUGGAUGUUUUUCCUGAUGGCCAAGGAGCUCGUUGUCUGUGGAAUGUGAAACAGCAGAGGAGGACGGCACCGCUCUACUAAACCUGAGACAGGUCCUUAUUACUCAUCCAUUUUAUACACAACAGUGUAUACAUGUCAAUUCCAAUCUCCCAAUUCAUCACACCAAAGACUAAAUAAAGGUGAACAAAACAUUUUCACCUGUAUGGCACUUAUAACUUGCACACAUAAAUGUAGACUAUAUAUAGUAUAUAUACGUGCAUGUAUAUGCUUAUAUACGUGUAUAUGUAUGUGUGUUUUGUAUAUAUGUAUGUAUGCAUUUGUACAUGACAUACAUGACAAUAUGAGGAGAUGCAAAUGUCUGGUGGGGGAGGUGAGGAAGGCUCCUCGGGGGGAGACCUUACAAGGAAGAGGCUAGUCCAGCCCAAGCAGAGCAGCCCUGAAAGCCCACGUGGGAGGCCUGGAGGCUCCCCAGGGUCAAGAUGUCAUAACAGUUCAGUGUGACAACAGAAAGUGGUCCACGGCAGGGAGGGGCCCGCAGCAAGGGUGGAAAUAAAUGGUAGAGUCCAAGCUUGACUGUCAAGGGUGUACGACUAAUCCUAACUUGCGAGGGAGCCAGCAAAUAUCAUUGAAAGGAGGACAGAGUCGGGACACGACCGGGUGGAUGCUAGCAGGACCCUCUGGAGGACAGCUCGGAGACACAGGAACCAGAGACAAGCAGGAGCCCCGUGGAUGAUCCCACCAACCAGCUGGAGUGGAGAACCACUGAGGUUCUGGGCCAAGGUGGCUGGAGGGGUUUCUGAACUGAGACAAAGGAGGAGGAAGAAGAGGUAAUUGGAGGAAGCCAGAUGGGCUGAGUUUGCAUCAGGUCCUCCUGGAGAGGCUGGUUCAUCCACAGGUGGGGGGGAGCCACCAUCAGUCACCAGGAGGAGCUUCUGUCAGGUGUGAUGGCACCUGUCUUAGGGAGCUCAGGCCACUGUGACAAAAUACCAGAGACCAGGUGGCUUAAACAGCAGGCGUCUAUUUCCUCACAGUCCUGGAGGCUGGACGUUCAAGCUCAAGGUGUGGGCAGGGCUGGUUUCUGGUGAGACCCUCUCGUUGGUUUGCAGGUGGCGCCUUCUCGCCACACCCUCAUGUGGCCUGACCUCUUCGCACACACAUACCUGGCUUCUCUUUGUGUCCUAAUCUCCUCUUCUUAUGAGGUCACCAGUCACAUCAGAUUAGGGUCCAUCCUGACGGGCUUGUUUUAACUUAAUCACCUGGUUAAAGGCCUUAUCUCUAAAUACAGUCACAUUCUGAGAUCCUGGGGGUUGAAUUUGGGGGGAACAUAAUUCAGCGGGUAAAAGCAUCUUAGUGGUGGACAAAUUAACCAGAAGGCAGCUUUGUUCCCUGAGCCCUGAAGGGACCAGCUGCCAACAGGUUCCAUCUGAUAAGGAGCCGGUGACCUUCUUGUUUGGAGGAGGAGGGGCUCUUGCUGGGUGUGUAUAGUGAACCUGCCCUCGGUCCACCCCCACUAGACCAUGGAUGAAGGGGAGGCGAAGGUCUGAUGACUGCAUCUCACCAGGGGAAUAAAGAACAUGCUUUUAUUUCCUCAAAGUCAAAACAAGAACAAGUGCUUGCUGUGUGUCUGAGGUACCAUCUCAUUUCACCCUCACAUCAGCCAAUAAGCGAUGUGUCUACUGUCACUCUCUUUGUUUCUAAGAUGAAAAGCAUGCUUGGCGUGGAGGCGUGACCUGCUGGAGGUCCCUCGGCUGGAAAGUGGUGAUGCCAGGCCUUGACCUCGGCCCAUCUGACUCUCCAGGGCCCGUGACUUUAACCCCCAUACUGCAAACAGUAUUUCUUUUGCUUAGAAACAUUUCUAAUUCUUUUAGAACCUCUUAAAGAAGUUCUUAAGGAAUUCUUGAGUCAAGGAGGUGAUCUUCUGUCAAAGUUUUCAAAUUGUUUCUUCUCCCUGUGACUCUGAAAGCCCUUGACAGUGUUACAGAUGUGACAGUGAAGAGCAUCCCAGCUUGGAUGUUCCCUGCGUGGCCUUACAGCAAGAACAUGUGUAGUUUUCUCAGGUGGCCUCAACAGCGAGACAGAGAAGCAGAGGAGAAGUGAUGGGCCCAGAGGUGGCUCAGAAAAGAGGUGGUGAUGACCGAUGAAGGGCCUUUUGAUUACUGUCUCCCAGCAACACCCAGGGGACUGUUCCUGAGAAUGAACUGGGCUAAGUGACAUGAUCCAGGGGUUGCGAAGCGGUCCACACCUGGUGGUGCCAGCACAGACGUUGGGGGGAAUAGAGAAGUCUCCCUGGGCAUCCCAGCAUGAACAUGGGGGAGAACAGAGCAUCGAGGGCGUCAUCACAGAGUUCCGUGUCUUUGUCCACUGUCAGCCAGGGACCAGUCACUUUCAAGGAUAGAAUGUCACCACUUGGUGGAAGAUGGCUGGUUUGCCAACGUCCUGUAAGAAACAUCACUAUCAUCCUGUGACACUGCCUCCGUAUUCCACUUGGAAAGACAGGCAUACAAUCAGUAUAUUCCAAAGAGACUAAUUACCUGGGGAAGUUGUUUUUAAAAAGCAAUAAAGAUUAUACAGAAAUUGGUGCUACCCACACUGGGCCUUGUAAUAAUAAUAAUACGUACAGGAUUUUAGCUG